UUAUAUAAAGUAAUAUUUUACAAAUUAAUUUCGACUUAAUUAUAAGGAUUUAACCUUUCCUAUAUAUA
rnacentral:tRNA from 1 species